rnacentral:rRNA from 1 species
CCUACGGGUGGCAGCAGUGAGGAAUAUUGGUCAAUGGACGAGAGUCUGAACCAGCCAAGUAGCGUGAAGGAUGACUGCCCUAUGGGUUGUAAACUUCUUUUAUAAGGGAAUAAAACGAGGUACGUGUGCCUUUUUGCAUGUACUUUAUGAAUAAGGAUCGGCUAAUUCCGUGCCAGCAGCCGCGGUAAUACGGAGGAUCCGAGCGUUAUCCGGAUUUAUUGGGUUUAAAGGGAGCGUAGAUGGGUUGUUAAGUCAGUUGUGAAAUUUUGCGGCUCAACCGUAAAAUUGCAAUUGAUACUGGCAGUCUUGAGUACAGUUGAGGUAGGCGGAAUUCGUGGUGUAGCGGUGAAAUGCUUAGAUAUCACGAAGAACCCCGAUUGCGAAGGCAGCUUACUAAACUGUGACUGACAUUGAUGCUCGAAAGUGUGGGUAUCAAACAGGAUUAGAUACCCUAGUAGUC